AAUAAUCCAACCCACAAGACCAAAGAAACAUAUCAAUAAGUCCUAUAUUACACUGACAUACAUGACAAUUGACAAAAUGAACCUUUCCCAAAGAAUCCUGGAAUGAAACUAAAUCUCCAAAAUUAUUUUGCUAAAAAAAAUUCCUUCUUAUAAUAAAUUAAGUAAACAGAUAUAAGAAGUUGCUUUUGUAUAAUGGUUCGACCAAACCAAAUUGUUGAAUUAGCCUAGUUUUACAGAGGAAUUUGUCUCUUUAGGCUCCAAAUAUUAAAAAUCCGAGAUUCAAAAUUUCCUUUUCCACAGCUUAUCAAAGCAAAAAAAGAAGGUAUAUGCAUUCUUUUUCCUCAAUUUCUCAACAACCAAAGAAAAAAGAAUCAAGAUUACAAGCGCUUCAAAUCUUGGAGUGAGAUGACUCAAACAAUGAAUUGAAAUUGUGGCACAGUCUUGGAAGUCGAGCUAAGAAUUUCAAUGAAUAACUACAUAUUUGGUAUUUAGGGAUACUUACGUACUUCGUUAUUCUGCUGUUAAUAUGAAACCCUAGAAAAAUUUCACGAUAAGAUCCAUUUCUCAAUAUGAAGGGAGUGGAAGCAUUUGACGAUAAGAUCUGCUUAGCCCCUAUUAAGAUUCACAAGAAACGGAUUCAAAACCCUAAAUAGCAACCCGAAAACUAAUAGAAAAAAAAAAUCCUUCAAUAAUCUGAAACUGGAAAUGGAAAAAUCCUAAAUCUCGUAUCUCAUUCCCGAAUUAGAAACGGAAUACAACACCAAAUCAAGGCAUCAUUCAACCAAAAAAUCAACAAAAAAUCUUACCGGUUUGUAGAUAUGUGAAGAUAAUAGUUGUGAUUCUUGAUUUCUU
rnacentral:lncRNA from 1 species